rnacentral:lncRNA from 1 species
GGCGGUUAGUCCUUUGAAUCUUUUGGAAGAGAGAAGAGAGACACAAGAGAAUUCAGGCGAUUAGUCCUUCUGUUCUUUUGGCAAAGGGAGAAGAGAAUGAAAAAGAUGAAUAGCACAAGUUUUUGAACAAUGAACUUUUCUUGGAAGAGAAAGUGUUGAAUGAAAAAUUUUAGAAAGAUGAAAAAAAAUGAAUUAGAAAGUUCUGUAGAAAGUGUUGA